rnacentral:tRNA from 1 species
ACCGUUUGCCUUUGGUUCAGUGGUAGAAUGCUCGCCUUACACGCGGGCGACCCGGGUUCGAUUCCCGGCCGAUGGUU